AGCCGCUUUUCCUCCAGAAACAGCGGCUUUUCCCCCACACGGCACCAGCCUUUCCCUCACAAACACCUUCUUUCCCCCGUCCCGAAAGAGCCGGGUGAGGCGGCUCCGAGGCCGCGCCGCCAUUACAGCGGCGGCUGCGCUCCGCCGGCUGUGAGGCGAGAGAACGCGGCGGGGUUUCGGGGAGAGAUAAAAAUCUUAUUAUGUAACGCACAUUUUUUAUAGAUUAUUGUCGAGUCCAGGGCUGGGGUAAUGCGGGCUGUCAGCAGCUGGGGCGAGAGGCUGAGGGACGAGCGGGCUGCGGCCGCUCCCUCCCAAGGGCACUGAGGCACCAUUUCUUCACCAGCCGUGAGGAGAACUUUGAUAUAUUACGUUAUUUUUUUUUCCACAGAAAGAUCUACUUAACGUGAUUACACAUGCACAGCUCCUGAAGGACAGUGCCUGGCACAAAGUUCCCACAAGUUCUGAACAUGCACCAAGUGUCCCAAACACCCCAGGGCAGAGAACACAACUUUGCCAGCUGAGACCAACAGGACGAGACUUGAGUGACCAAGUUCUUCAAUUUCAGAAGAAUGCAGUGUCAUAAAGACCUUAAUAAUACCACAGCCUCACAAAAUUGGCCAUUUCCACUUACAAAAAAAGCCAUAAGAGAAUCUCCAGCUUGUUAAAAUCCUCAAGACCACCACAGAAAUUGCAGACAAUAAUUAUUCUCCAGACAAAUGAAACUGGAUACGUUACACAGCAAGUGGGAGCACCAAACCAGGGAAAAGGGGGUGAGGCAGCUUUCUCUCACCAACAGGGUUUGAGGGGUUUAGUAUUUACGUGGCUAAAUUCAAAGUGUGUUGAAAAUUAAACACUAGUGCUUUGAGAGACUUCAAAGCCAGGUGGGAUUUUGCUUCCCAAAGUAAAGAGAGAGUUAAAUGUUUAUUAUUAUCUAACUGAUUGCUGAGAAACAUGUAAAACUCUUUUCUGAUCCUUCAAAAUUAAAUAUACAAUCCACCAGAUUCCAUUACUUGCUCGACUGAGUUUGAUUUCAUUGUAUUAAUAAGAAAAAAAUGUUUUAUUUCCUCCCAGAGUAUCGUCUACUUUUCCAUUAUUACAACUAGAAAUUGCCAAGAAAAUGAAAUGCUCGAGCACAGCAGACACUGCUUUUCUUCUCGUUAAAUCUUAAAACUUGGUUCCAGUGGGAUCAUAUUCAGUCCUCUCAAAUUCAGAACAGAAUUUCAUCCUGCCUCAACAUCCCAACAAUGACAUUUUAUAAAUAUUACGAGUUUCUUGGACGCCUUUCUCAUUCCACAAGGAGCAGAGAAGCACUCUGUUUAGGGAUUUUUUUCUUCUUCCCCUGCUUGAGAUUUUUUUAUUAAACCUUAAAUGUAACCAGCCCUCCUCAAUCCAUUUUCUGCAGGAUUUUUUGGAGACCUUUGGAAGUCUCACAGAUUUUCUGAGCUGUAAUAAUUGUGACAAAUCUUUGACAAAGGAUUGUCUUUAUUCAAGCAAUGAUAAAGCUCUCAUUGAGAGAGGUGCUGGAAAUAAACAAGUGCUUAAAGCAGCCUAAAAGUUGUCUUAAAUCUCCACCUGCUCUCCAGCCGAGACAGGGCCUGGAUUUCUAAAUCCAGGAGGAGCAAACAAUAAUUAAAAGAAGUAAAUAAAUCCUUGCAUGGUUCUUUAGACAUGAGGGGGGUGGGGCAGUCAGAAGAGGAGACACUGAUUUCCUCAUCUUCCCUUCUCUACACUUUCCAUGAGUGUCAGCCCAUCUCACCCUUCCAGGAGGUUCCACACUCAAGGUCUUUUGUAAAGCCACGCAAAUACAGAGCUAUUGCAGAACCAAGGACACAGGAAACACAUCCCCAGGAAUGGCAAACUUGGGUUAUUUUUUAAGUUUUCCAAUUCUACAAUUUUUGCUGUGAGGCAGCAGGGGGAAAAAUGGCAAUGUGACAAAUCAACCUUGUGAAUGUCAGCAGUGUCAGGGAACAAGAAGAAACAGAACAAUACCAUUCAUCAUUUCCCAAGGUAUGUUGAAGUGUGGUCUGUAAAAAAACAACCUUAGAAAUUGCUUUUCCUCUCACUGAAGCAAAUAAAAGCAACCCCAUUCUGCAGGCAGACGGGCAGCAAGGCCUUGUGUCUGCACAUCCCUGCUCUGCCCAGCCACCAUCUCACGGGUGCUGCAUGGAUCCAUCACAGAACACAACCCUGCUGCCAACCGAGCCUUUUUACAUUUCACUCAUGACUUCUACAUCAACCACCAAAGCUUUGCCGCGGAACAACUCGGGCUCACACCUCGGGACCCGUGUAGGGACCUACCUGUCACUGCUGGUGC